CACAAAGAGCUUCUCCUCAAGGAUGGCUUGUAUGCUCGAUUAACAAGAAGACAGGCUGAUGCUGUGGCAUGAACUCUUGUUAACUGACAUAAAUGUUCUGGCGGAUUCUUUGACCAAGUUCGUUCCUGAUUGGACGCUGCAGAUAGGUUGGUGUUUUUUCUUUUCGAGCAAUUUUAGCAAUGUCUAUGCACCAGAUUAGGUAUAGGCUUCAGAAUGAAGAAGGCAAUACAAGAUUAGUUGCAGACAUUGCAGUUCGACCAUCUCAGGUUUUCUCGUGAGAAGGUUGGCUUCAAAGAUUCUGCUGCAUCACCGGCCAAAGCUGUAACCAUUGAGUUUUGACAGCGAUUGAUGCAUAACUGGUUCAAGGGGUGGGAGUAAAUAUAUAACCUGUAUAGAUAGCAGAUAUGUUUAUCGACAAAGAGCAGGUACUGUUGUUACAAAGUUACAGAAAAAACCCAUCAAUAAACCAAGGCCCAUUGUGUGAGGCUCGGCUCAUAUUUUCUUCUUUUAGGAAUUCAACUAUAUAGAUAUCCUCACCAAGACCAAUAAUGGAAAACCCUCGGUUGGCUUCCAUAACUGAAGAAUCUUUUGUUUGAAAUAUUGUUUUGCUAUUCUCUUUCCGAAUAAUUUGUUGAUUACUGAUAAUUUCCAUGGUUGAUAGAUUCAGGGCUUUUCCUCCGGUGAUAGUAUAUGACAUCUUGGUUGAAGAUCUUUCUGUGAGUGUAUGGUGUAAUCCUCCAGUGGUUCUUCAAUUCUUUCGGUUGUUAAUAACUUUUCCAGGAAGUAGGAUUUCAUACAUAACAUUGCACUAAUUGGUGGCGUGACAAAAGUUACACCAUGCCAACAUUAUGGAAACCUUCUAUCGAUGAAAAACAUAUGAGAAAAUCUACAUUCAAUACAAG
rnacentral:lncRNA from 1 species